CUGCCUCCCAGGUUCAAGCGAUUCUCCUGCUUCAGCCUCCCUAGUAGCUGGGACUACAGGGACAGCAGACAGCAGCUUGUGGUUGGUCAGGAGAUGCUGGAAGACUGGAGGAGAGCUCCUGAUGGGGCAGCGAUGAGCAGAGGCUUGUGGACUGGACCUGUGUGGUUUCGUAGCAAUGAUAAGGAAACUAAACUGGAUUAAGUGCUAUCAUCUUGGAGGUGCAAAGGCAAACAAGGAGAAAGAAGUGAUUGAAGAGCACUUCAGAAAGCCUGGUGCAUUCAAAUCAGCAGGGCUUGAUUACUCGCAUCCCAGGACACUUAAGGAAUUGGCAAAUAUAAUUGCAAGACCACCAGCCUUUAUUUUAGAAAAUGAAGGUUGGACAGAAGAAGGUCCUGACAAGUAGAAUCAGCAGAUGGAGUACCUGUUUUUUAAAACAGGGAAAAGGACAGCUGUAGUAAUUAUAGACUAUUCAGCUUAUCUUGGAUACCUGGGAAGAUACAAGAGCAAAUCAUCAAACAAUCAAUUUGCAACCACCUAGAAGAGCACAAGGCCAUUAGAUAACCAAGAAAUUGGAAAGAAGAGUGAUUUUUCCAAACACUUCUUAUAUUCAAAGCAUGCGAAUAUUGAUCUCAGCGUUACUUUGACCAUUAAUGAAUUAUGAUGGCAAUAAGCAAAGAUGCGCACCUGUAGCCUCUGGGGAGCUUAAUCUUCUGCUACAACGUUUGCAUUUAGACAGGGUGUCUCUCUGCUGCUCAGGCUGGAGUGCACUGGUGCAAUCAUAGCUCACUGCAGCCUCGACUUCCUGGGCUCCAGUGACCCUCUCGCCUGAAACCGUACUCCCCCUCAAGCAGCUGAGACUACAGGCAGUGUUUAAGAAGGAUCCAGAAAUACUUCAAGCAAUGCCAGUGAUAGUGUUGCCUCCUCAGAAGACUGCUUUCAGGGGAACAGUAUACAUCUGCCCUGUAAAUUCUGGAUGGUAUGAAAACUGAGGUGCAGAAAGAAAUAACUAUUGAAAGUCACAAACUGCACUUCUCACACAGUAUUGAAGUCAUCUGUCCACCUGGCUCAUCAAACAAAUUGUUCCCUGAGUUCAAGGAUCAUGCUGCAUGCUGGAUUGCCCAGGAAGCUGCUUCUGAGAUGGAGUUUAGUGACCAAAAUAUGUAUGUGGGCCUUUGGAUCAUCACCUGUGGAAAGGAAGACAAGGAAACAGGAAUGGACCUAAGGUUAAGUGAAGCUCUGAUGCAAACCUGACAACUAUCUCACCUGACACCGUGAAGAGCUCUGGAGCUGGAAUGGCCUUUCGUUGUUCUGAAUUGGUGUGAGGUAGCUAGGUCUUCACACCCCUGCCACCACCCAUUGUUGCGUAUGGGCCAACCAGGAAGGGGCAUGACCAUGAGUGAUGCAGCUCUGCAGCUGAAGCAGUACCUGAAGAGGCUGACAGCUGAGGGCCAUCUGCUGACAGCACUCCCUGCAGCUGGGCAGCACAUCCUUUCUCAAAAGGGGAUUAAGGCAGUCGCAUCUCCAUGUCCACCAUGGACUAUAUAUUUUUUCUUUGAAUUCUUAGGGCUUCCCAUAGUAUAUGGCACAUAGUAGGCAAAACUGGAGGUCUGUGUGGCAAAUUCAGCUAGUAGAUGAGUAUUGUUUUUUCACCCACAAAGGGAUUGUUAAAAAUUAGUUGUCAACAUUUAAAAAUGAAAAGAUUUCAUAUUGAAA